rnacentral:rRNA from 1 species
CAAAAGCGUAUAUUAAAGUUGUUGCAGUUAAAAAGCUCGUAGUUGAACCUUGGGCUUGGCUGGCCGGUCCAUCUUUUUUGAUGCGUACUGGACCCAGCCGAGCCUUUCCUUCUGGCUAGCCUUUUGGCGAACCAGGACUUUUACUUUGAAAAAAUUAGAGUGUUCAAAGCAGGCCUUUGCUCGAAUAUAUUAGCAUGGAAUAAUAGAAUAGGACGUUAUGGUUCUAUUUUGUUGGUUUCUAGGACCAUCGUAAUGAUUAAUAGGGACGGUCGGGGGUAUCAGUAUUCAGUUGUCAGAGGUGAAAUUCUUGGAUUUACUGAAGGCUAACUACUGCGAAAGCAUUUACCAAGGACGUUUUCAUUAA